UGGGAUAUAAUCUCCUGGUGUGCCAUUUGC
rnacentral:piRNA from 1 species